UGGGGAAUUUUGGACAAUGGGCGAAAGCCUGAUCCAGCAAUGCCGCGUGUGUGAAGAAGGCCUUCGGGUUGUAAAGCACUUUUGUCCGGAAAGAAAUCCUUGGCUCUAAUACAGUCGGGGGAUGACGGUACCGGAAGAAUAAGCACCGGCUAACUACGUGCCAGCAGCCGCGGUAAUACGUAGGGUGCAAGCGUUAAUCGGAAUUACUGGGCGUAAAGCGUGCGCAGGCGGUUUGCUAAGACCGAUGUGAAAUCCCCGGGCUCAACCUGGGAACUGCAUUGGUGACUGGCAGGCUAGAGUAUGGCAGAGGGGGGUAGAAUUCCACGUGUAGCAGUGAAAUGCGUAGAGAUGUGGAGGAAUACCGAUGGCGAAGGCAGCCCCCUGGGCCAAUACUGACGCUCAUGCACGAAAGCGUGGGGAGCAAACAGGAUUAGAUACCCUGGUAGUCCAGCGCCCUAAACGAUGUCAACUAGUUG
rnacentral:rRNA from 1 species